rnacentral:lncRNA from 1 species
UUCAUUUUCUUUUUUUGAGGGCUAUUUUUGUGCCGAAAACUUAAAACAGUUAUUUAAGAAAAUUUCUCUAUUCUAAAUUAAAAAAUAUAUCUGUGCAGAUGCAUGGCUAAAAUCUAGUUUCUUUUGUCAAGGCAGAUGGUCCCUCGGUGUAAGUAAAAACGAAUAAAGGCAACAGCCACCUAGGGUCUUCUAGUUUCGUAAUUUGUGUAAAUAAUUUUUGCAUUCAAAUGAAUAAAUGUCUCAUUUCUCUCCAAAAAACCAUUAAAAACUAGGGUCGGUCCGCGCUUCGCGCGGAAUGCUGUCUUUGUUCUUAUGUAAAGAUGACUUAUUUCCUGAGGUUAAAGGUCUGGAGAAAUUUGUCUUUGUGACACAGUAUAUUGUGGGACAAUUUAGCUGUAUAAAAAUCGUCUUAGUUGGAAUGUUAUAGUUACAGAAAGAUUCAUGCUAAAGAUCAAUAUCUGACUACUUUUAGUCUCUUAGCCUUGAAGCAUUCAAAAUUUUUUGAGCAUGUUA